AUAAAUGUGUUUCAAGACAGAAAUUUGGUUUGAUUAACUCUAAAUCCAAUAAAUCAGUCUACAUGCUUAUAAAAAAUAUUUGUGAGGCAAGAAAAGUCCAAAAUCUUUUUCUCCUUUUUUUUAACAAUGAUUUGCCAAAUAAAUGUUCCAUUCAUGUUAAUGCUAAUGACACUGUUAUUCACGGUUCCUAUCCUGAUGUAUUACAAAUUCUGAAAAAUCUAGUUUUAGCUUAGUUUAAAAUGGUUUCAUAAUAACAAAGUGUAGUUAAAAAAGAAAAGGCUUUGCAUUGUUUGAUUGAAUUUUAUACUCUCUGCACAUUCUUCUCCUUUGGUUAUUGAUUUUGAUGACAUAUGUCAUACCCACAGUGGCUGUGUGCAGUUUGUGCUGUGUUUUCUCUGUCCUGCAGGGUGUGACUGACAGGGGCAGCUGCAACAGGUGUUUCUCAUUUGAGUCCAAUCAUCGAGGCUUCAUAAGGAGCUGGAACCUGGAAGGAGGCAUCAGCUUGUUGUCUCUGCCAGCAUGGUAACCUGACGAGUUUCUGUAGUUCUGUGAAUUUCCUAAAGCCUGCUCUAAUCAAGUUUCUUGUCCUGCUUUGCAGAUCUGAUUAUUCUUGUCUUUGAUUCCAAGCUCCUGUUCUCUGUAUUCAUGCUCCGGUGAGUUUUGGAAACAACUCCACCACUCCAGCCAUGAGUCUCCCUUCCUUUCUUACCUCCAGCUCCGCAGCUUUGAGUUCACCUUGUGGAAACACCAAACUAUUGCUCACCUGCCUGUUCCCCCCUCAACUGCUGCUUAAGGAUCACAAAGAUCGUCAGCACUGUGAAUCUCCGUGCUACUAAUCCUGCAAAACUCAGCCUCUGUGGGAAAGACUUGCUACCUCUAACAAGCCGUCAUCCACCACCAACAUGCCAGUCCAGAUCCCUCUGGCAGAUCCAGUCCGUGUUCAGUCUUAUUCUGGUUGUGUUACAAAUAAACUGUUAGAACUGC